rnacentral:lncRNA from 1 species
GCGGAUAAGAGUUGGGCGUGAAAGCUAAUGCACAAUGACAACAAUGGUCAGCAAAAAUAAGAACAUAAAUUCUCUUCUUACAUAUUCUCGGAAACUUGGACUGAUGGGUAAAAAUAAAAUAAAAAAAUUUGAACGAUGUGCGUGACAUAGUAAGGGAUUGCUGUUGUCACAGGUUGUUGGCUAGUCUAUGAAUUACCUCAUGCCAUGAGUUUCCUGUUCAACCCUGGUUUGAGUGGACAAAGAUGAGCAGAACUGGACCACCAAGCUUGUCCUUCAAUACUCCAGUGACAAAUGGAAGCACCUACACUGACAG